AGAACUGUAACACUCACUGCGAGGGUCCAUGGCUUCAUUCUUGAAGUCAGUGAGACCAAGAACCCACCAAUUCCGGGCACAUUUUGGUGACCACGAAGGGACUAUCACCUAUUGCCAAGCGGUGAGGCUAUCGCCAAGCAGUGAGACCAUUGCCUGUCACUGUGCGGCGAGACAAUUGCUUAUCGCCAAGCAACAUACCUUCCUAAUGAGCUGGGGUUCGAAUUUAGAAAUCUUUGAUGCUUCAGAGUCCACACUGAAAUGUGGAGGCACAUAACUCAACCUGCCUGCACCUAGGUGAUUCAAAAGCUUUAUUGCUCACACAAAGCCUGUUUGGUGGUCUCUUCACACAGACCAUGUGACAUUUGGUGCCGUAACUCAGAUCGGGGAACCUCCCUUGGGAGAUCAGUCCCCUGUCAUCCUGCUCUUUGCUCCAUGAGAAAGAUCCACCUAUGACCUCUGGUCCU
rnacentral:lncRNA from 1 species